rnacentral:rRNA from 1 species
GGCUCGUGUCGUGAGAUGUUGGGUUAAGUCCGUAACGAGCGCAACCCUUGUCCUUAGUUACCAGCACGUUAUGGUGGGCACUCUAAGGAGACUGCCGGUGACAAACCGGAGGAAGGUGGGGAUGACGUCAAGUCAUCAUGGCCCUUACGGCCUGGGCUACACACGUGCUACAAUGGUCGGUACAAAGGGUUGCCAAGCCGCGAGGUGGAGCUAAUCCCAUAAAACCGAUCGUAGUCCGGAUCGCAGUCUGCAACUCGACUGCGUGAAGUCGGAAUCGCUAGUAAUCGUGAAUCAGAAUGUCACGGUGAAUACGUUCCCGGGCCUU